AGGAGAGUCAACAGAUAACAGGGUAAGGAAUUAGUGGUUAGGGUUAAGAGUUAGGGAUAGGCUCAAACACAUUCACUGUUGUGUGACAAAUGUUAUGAAGUAUUUGAAAGUGGUAUAAAGGCAGUGAUGGGGAUCAUCGUUUAGCAAUACUUGAUCACAAUAUUUUCACUUUUCCACUCCCACCAUUGAACCUGGCAUGAUUCUGGGAAAUCCAAUUUCAGGUGCAACAGGAGUUUCUGAGUUGUAGAAGUUUCCUAGAUGUGUAUGGGGUUUGUUGGGUGGAUAUGGCAAGUUCUACCUGCUGUGUUGCAAACGCUGUGUCAGAGAGCACACAUUAGAUUAAUCCUCAACACAGUUUUGUGUGUGUGCUUCAGUGGGCCUGGUGUUGCCUGAAACCUCACAUGUGCCUGAGGGGCUUCAGAGCCCUUGACUACCUUUCUGAUCACCUCUGCUCCCAAAGAGAGCUCAAGGACAUGGGGCCUCUGCUUCAAAGAUAGAUUAGUAGUAACUGGAGAGUCAGAAAUAUAGAGUUCAGGGGCCACCUUUAAUUAUUUUUCUAGAGGUCAUACACUGAGAGCAAAACUUCUGAUUUAACACAUGUAGACAGGGUCCAAGAAUGAGCUUGUCGGAACUCCUAUGUGAUGCUCACGUUCUAAAGACAGAGAAUGAGAACUGUAUCUGUCAAAGUCAUUCCUUCUUAACCGUAGGAAGAAGCUUAACCAUAGUAAGUACAUUCAAAAGGUUUCUCUCCAAAACAUACUGUUUUGUUGUGUUUUGGUUUUUCAAGACAGGGUUUCUCUCUAUAGCCCAGGCUGUCCUGGAACUCACUUUGUAGACCAGGCUGGCCGAGAACUCAGAGGUCCUCCUGCAUCUUCCUCCCAAGUGCUGGGAUUAAAGGCAUGCACCACCACUGUCUGGCUCCAGUACAUAUUCUUUCAUGAUGAUGAAGCCCACAGAAUUGUGCAAACGCUUCACCAUAUUAAAUAAACUCCCAAGGUUUCUGUCUUAGUGUUUCCAUCGCUAGGAAUAGACAUCAUGACCAAGGCAACUCUCAUAAAAGCAAACCUUUAAUUGGGGCUGGCUUACAGUUUCAGAGGUUUAGUCCAUUUUCAUCAUAGCAGGAAGCACAGCAGCAGCAUGCAGGCAGACAUGAUGCUGGAGGAGCUGAGAGUUCUGCAUUUUGAUCCAAAGGCAGCCAGGAAGAAACUGUCUUCCAGGGAGGGAAUAGGAGGGUCUGUUUUGCACUUGGUGGAGCUUCAGAGUCCACCCCCAGAGAUAUCCACUUCCUCCAACAAGCUCACACCACUAAAUAGAGUCACUCCCUGUGACAAGCAUAUUCAAACUCCCACAUUCCAUUCAAUGGCCCCCAUAACCAUGUUGGAGUACAGGAAUGUAUGAGGACCAUACUUAAACAUGCAUAAUGAAAAAUACACGAGGUCCAACCUCAAAAGUCCCCAUCAUCUAUUCCACUCUCAAAAAUGUUAAAAGUCCAAAGGUCAAAGUCUCUUCUGAGAUUCAUUCAAUGUAACUGUAAUCCCCUAAAAAAGAAAAUCUAAAAGCAGAUCAUAUACUACCACUUCAAAACAUAGACUUUAACAAUCCUAAAUGUCAUCAUGAGGAAAUAGUGGACCAAAACAAAACCAAAAGUCAGCUUGGAAAUCUCCAAACUGCAUCUCUAUGUCUGAUGUUAAAGCAUUCUUCAGAUCUCCAACUCCUUUCUGCUGUGUUCACUGCAGCACAAUUCUUUCUCUUUGGCUGGUUUUUCCUGAGCAGGUACCCCACAGCUCUGACAUCUCAAAGAUCUUGGGGUCUCGAAGGUAACCUCAGUGUUACAGUUUCUUGUUCCAAUGUCUUGGAUCCACACAUGAUCUUCUGCAGUCCUCCAGAGAGAUAAGGUCACUUCUCUAGCUCUGACCUCUGUAUCACUCUAAGCUCUUGUUGACUCCACUCUACUGGGCUGUUCUUUCUGCUCAUCCCAUUGGACUGGCAUCUUCAAUAUGUUGGGUUCUUCUGCUGCAACUAGGCUUCACUGAUAGUCUCACUUAUGCUCUCUUCAUUGGUCCAAGCCUCAGCUGCUCCUCAUGACACUGUUAUGCCUUCAAAACCAGUACCACCUGGGUGAUUCUUACAUGAGACCAAGUUCAGCUGCAACACAAGGUACAAUCCUGGCUAUCUCUGAACACAGUUUCUUUGUCCUCUCAGAAAACAGUUCCUAGAAGAUUUCACCUCAAUGAUGCUGGUCUCUUCUUCAUCACUUCUAAUUUCUCAGCCACAGCUAACGAACUUCAAUUUUCCCAGUAGUCCCUUCUAUUCUUACCUCUAAAGUCAGAGCCACAUGGACAAAGUUGCUGAGUUCUGCUGCUUUCUGGGCCUGGGACAUGGCCUCUUCUAUUACAUUAUCACCAGUUUUCUGUUCUCCAACUCCUUUACUUCCUCAGCUUGGCUGUCCUUGAACUUGCUCUAUAUAUUGACCUUGAACUCAGAAAUCUGCAAAGCUCUGUAUCCACAGGGCUAGACCUAAGAAUUUCUUCACCUUUAACUUGUUCUGUAUCAGGAUGGACUUGAACUCAGAGAUCUGCUUGAUGCUCAUCUCCUAGGGUUCAAGGGCAUGUACCACCAUGCCUGGACCUAUGCUUUCCACUUUUGAUCUUAUAUUGAAAACCAAGAGCAGCAAUCACAAUCCAUCCCUUGUCAAUUUGAUACAUACUUGUAUCUCCUUAUGUCCAUAUGUAAACAAUAACCAGGUUUCUCUCCUCUGUGUUCUUUUAUGUCGCUGUAGAUGACUGUGAGUUGCAAAUGCUUUACCACAUUGAUUACAUUCAUAAGGUUUCUGUCCAGUAUAUGUUCUUUUAUGUCUUUGGAGAUUAGUCAUCCAUCCAAAGUCUUUACAACAUUGAUUGCAUUCUAAGGUGUUUUUCUAAAAUGUGUUCUUUCAUGUAGUUGGAGAUGACUGUGACUUGCAAAGGCUUUACCACAUUGAUUGCAUUCAUAAGGAUUCUUUCCAGUAUGUGUUCUUUUAUGAUAUUGGAGAUUAUUUUGAUGAGUAAAUGCUUUAUCACACAGAUCACACUGAUAAGGUCUCUCUCCAGUAUGUGUUCUUUUAUGACAUUGGAGACUAUUGUGAUGUGCAAAGGCUUUACCACAUUCAUUACACUUAUAAGGUUUCUCUCCAGAAUGUGUUCUUUUAUGUAUAUUGAGACUAGACUGCCAUGCAAAGGCUUUACCACAUUGAUCACACUCAUAAGGUUUCACUCCAGUAUGUGUUAUUUUAUGAUAUUCAAGACUACUGUGUUCUGAAAAUGCUUUAUCACAUUGAUUACAGUGAUAAGGUUUCUCUCCAGUAUGUGUUCUUUUAUGAUAUUGGAGACUACUGUGAUGUCCAUAGGCUUUACCACACUGAUUACAUUUAUAGGGCUUCUCUCCAGUAUGACUUCUAAUAUGAUAUUGGAGAUUACUGCGUUGUGAAAAGGCUUUACCACAUUGAUUACAUUCAUAAGGUUUCUCUCCAGUAUUUGUUCUUUUAUGUAUUUGGAGAUGAUUGUCACUUGCAAAGGCUUUACCACACUGGUUACGUUCAUACGGUUUCUCUCCAAUAUGAAUUCUUUCAUGC
rnacentral:lncRNA from 1 species